GAAUGUAAUCAUUACAAUGUCAUAAGGUUCUUGGAAGGAAUAAAUAGGCUCACAGAUUUGGUGCAUGAUUAGAUAGUCGAAUGUUACUUCUCUUCUUCCCGUUAAACACUGAGUAAGAUGCUACUCCUUAGAAAUAUUUCUUAUAGAAUUAAUUUGCUUUGCAGAAACGUGAUUUUUGAGGACCUCCCAACAAAGAAAGUUCAGGGAAUGUAAAAUUGAAACUUGAAUCCACACAGAACUGUCAUAUGACAUCUGGACAGAUUUGAGUUGAUAAUUUUUUCAGUCAACUCCCAGAAAAAAUGGUCCCUAAGCAUCUGCUGCAUCCGGGCCUCCAGGGCCUAUUAGCUUGAUGUCAUCAAUAUAAUGGGCCAGCAUCAUGUCCUAUGGAACAAGGAGAUAGUCAAGCACGGACUAAAUUGUGGCACAGAGGCAGAGUUGAUGUAAUCCCAAGGCAAGACAGCCAAGGUGGACAGCUAUGCUUGCCAGGUAAAAGCAAAUUGCAGCUAAUGCUUUCUCCUUAUUUGAAUGCAUAAAAACAGUUAUCGCACCCAUAGUUGCACACCAGAUGUUAGGAACUAUGCUUUGCUCUAGUAAAGACAGCACAUCCAGAACAGUAGAUACAGUUUGAAUCACUACCUAAUUAAAUCUGUAAGAAUACUAUAUAUUUCUUUGAGUUUAUCUGACAACUGCAGAGAUAAAACAGGUAUGUUAGAAAGGGAUAUGAAAGAAACACUACCAAAUAACCAUAACCAUAAUCAAAUCUUUUUGAUUACAUAUGCAUUUCUGAGAAUCUUCCAGGAAUGUAUCAUUGCUUCUGGCUAACUCUCAUGGUAGGCAGGAGAAGGUCUAGAGUGAGGCUAUCCAGUCCUGUAGCCACUGGCCACAUGUGGUUACUGAGUACCUGUAGUCCGUAAUAAGUUGUUCUGUAAGUGUAGCAUAGGACAAAAAUAAGUUUACUAAUAUGUUGUAUGUUGAUUUAGUGUUGAAAUGAUACUAUGGUGGAUAUAGUGAGUUAAAUUAGAUAUACUACCAAAAUUAAUUUUACCUGUUUCAUUUUACCUUUUUAAAAUAUGGCCACUAGAAAAUUUAAAAUUAAAUGUGUGCUCACAUUAUGUUUCUAUUGGACAAUACUCCUUGAAGGCUUAAUUUGCUUUUUUUACCAUAAUAGUCCUCAUAACGGGGGUCAGGAAGCAGACUUGGAAAUUAUACCAAUUGCUAAAUUUAUUUAUUCCAGCUACACUCAACCACACGAUAGGUUCGAGGGGCAGAAA